AUACGGAGGAUGCGAGCGUUAUCCGGAUUUAUUGGUUUUAAAGGGUGCGCAGGCGGGAGAUUAAGUCGGCGGUGAAAUUUUGCAGCUCAACUGUAAAAGUGCCUUCGAUACUGGUUUCCUUGAGUGUGGAUGAAGUAGGGGGAAUUUGUGGUGUAGCGGUGAAAUGCUUAGAUAUCACGAGGAACUCCGAUUGCGCAGGCAGCUUACUAAACCACUACUGACGCUCAGGCACGAAGGCGUGGGGAUCAAACAGGAUUAGAUACCCUGGUAGUCCACGCAGUAAACGAUGAUUACUGGCUGUUUGCGAUACAAUGUAAGCGGCUGAGCGAAAGCGUUAAGUAAUCCACCUGGGGAGUACGUUCGCAAGAAUGAAACUCAAAUGAAUUGACGGGG
rnacentral:rRNA from 1 species